UCCAUUUCAGUAAAAUUGAUUCAAAUUUCCCCAAAUUAUCACCACUAAUUAUCAGUUAAUCAUCAGAUUUAAUAUCUAAUUCAGACAUUAUGCUAAUUAAACAUGCUGAUUCAAAAAGGAAAUUGAAAGAGGGGCUAGGUUACAAACUUGUGAUAAUCACGUCCUUCUUCUCCAUCCUUCUCAGCGAACACGACGGCGCGGCACCGGUGAUUUCUUCAUCAUCUCCUUCUCCGAUCAGAAAGUCAAACCAUCGUUGCCAACAAAAGCCUCAGCGUCCAUUUCUCAUCGAUUCAUCUCACCAAAUCUCAACUCAGUUCGCAAUCUCUCUCGGUCUCUUGUCUAUCGUGUUCGCCUUGGAUUCGAAUUUCCCCGAUCAAAAGAAACUUUCCGAUUUAUCAUCACGAUGGACAAGAAACGGAAGAACAGGAACGCUUCUCAACCAAAGAUAGCGUCCGUAGCGUCUUCAUAGAUGAGUAAACGAAGAAAUCUAGAGAUUAUCUGAAACAAACGGAUCUAUCCUUUACAGAGAACCGAUGAAGAUGAAGAUUGGUUGGAGAUUGAGCGAUGAUGAUUAUUGCUGUGAGAGAAGGUUGAAGAUUUAAGGUAAUGAACGGUUAUGGCGAAGAGUUCUGUGAUUUGCAGAAAGUGAUGAAGAGAUGAUUGUUGAAGGUUAUCGAGGUCGAAGAAGAAUAGAGAAGGUUUUACGAUUCGGUUAUGGUGAUUCCGAUGGAAAAGAGAGAGAGAAUUCGGGAAGAAACUUGAGAGAGAGGUCCUCGAGUUUGUUACCAAGUAGUGAUGAAUGAAGAGCAAUGGUGAAGUUUUCUGUCAUGAGGUGAAGAUUGAAAAUGGAGGUUUUCUGAACUCAGAGGUUUUGGAUGGCUCAAAUUGAUUGAAAGUCUUGCCAAAAAAACGUGGAGCUGCCGGUGUUGAAGACUUGAAAGCAUUCCCUGAAAACUUAGUCUUAGUGCAAAUAUGUAUGGGGUUUUUCCUGUGCAAAUUUGUGUAAUUUGUGGAUGGACUUGAAUGUUGUAAUUGUAAACUUGGACUUUUGUAACUUUUGUGAAGGAUUUGUGGAUUUGAGUAUUUUUGUAAUGAAAUUUGAUAUGGUUUGAA